AGGGUUUGAUCUUGGCUCAGAACGAACGCUGGCGGCGUGGAUUAGGCAUGCAAGUCGAACGAGGAUAUAUCCUUCGGGAUAUAAGCCGAGUGGCACAAGGGUGAGCAAUGCAUAGAUUACCUACCUUUAGGAUAAGGACAACUUUGUGAAAACGGAGCUAAUACUUAAUAAUACAAAAGAAAAUAAUUUUCUUUUGUCAAAGGGAGGGUAGCAAUACCUUUCGCCUAGAGAGGGGUUUAUGUCCUAUCAGCUUGUUGGUGGGGUAAUAGCCUACCAAGGCGAAGACGGGUAGCCGGUUUAAGAGGAUGGUCGGCCACACUGGGACUGAGACACUGCCCAGACUUCUACGGAAGGCUGCAGUCGAGAAUCUUUCGCAAUGCCCGAAAGGGUGACGAAGCGACGCCGCGUGGGUGAAGAAGGCCUUCGGGUUGUAAAACCCUGUCAGGAGUUAUGAAAUGUAAGUGCGCUAAUAUCGUGCUUAUUUGACAAAGGCUCCAAAGGAAGCCACGGCUAACUCUGUGCCAGCAGCCGCGGUAAUACAGAGGUGGCGAGCGUUGUUCGGAAUUAUUGGGCGUAAAGAGCACGUAGGUGGGUUUGCAAGUCAGAUGUGAAAGCCUUCUGUUCAACGGGAGAAUUGCAUCUGAAACUGCUAAUCUUGAGUAUAGGAGGGGAGAAUGGAACUUCUGGUGGAGCGGUGAAAUGCGUAGAUAUCAGAAGGAACGCCGGCGGCGAAAGCGAUUCUCUGGCCUAUUACUGACACUCAGUGUGCGAAAGCUAGGGGAGCAAACGGGAUUAGAUACCCCGGUAGUCCUAGCCGUAAACGAUGGGCACUAAGUAGAGGGGAUUACCUAUGUUCUCUCUGCCGUAGCUAACGCAUUAAGUGCCCCGCCUGGGGAGUACGGCCGCAAGACUAAAACUCAAAAGAAUUGACGGGGGCUCGCACAAGCGGUGGAGCAU
rnacentral:rRNA from 1 species